UCAAAGAACGUGUGCUGCUCAUUAAUAGCGUUGCCGGCAAUAUUUAUUAAUUAUUGAAACUAAUAGGUAGAUUUUUCUCGCGGACUUUAUCAGUGACAGUAAAUAUCAAGCAGAUCUUGACGAUUAGACUGAAGAUUCGAAGCAGCAAAUGUUGAUACGAAUGAAACUAGCUAUAGUCAUUACAGAAAGUGGAUGAGUGCCGUAUACACAGACACACGAGCGACAGUCAUGAAAUAAGAGAGCAGGAGGAGGUUUGGGGCGGCGGCGUUGGUGGAACAAUUUAAUUCUAAGGACAACGUUGAUCAAAUUGAUAAUUACAGAUCAAAUUGAUAAUUUUGAUCAUUUGAGAGAUGGAGCAGAUCUGAAAGAGACAUCGAGCACCGAUAGAAUAAUUAUAGGAUAGAAAAUAUAACUGACAAUCUUGAGAAGCUGAGAGGAGGAGGAGGUCUGGGAGAGACAUCGGGCACCAGCAGAGCAACCAUGAGAUCAACAUAGCUUCAGAUUAAUGUAGUAACUCCUUUACUGCUCACCGGUCGAAUGUCUCGCACAUUAAACAAAAUAAAUAUACAUACAUAUAUAUUUGGAUCGUGAAGAAGAAAAGAAUGCGAAGGAUCUGAGUGUAGGAAGAAUGCAAACGAAACAAACUUUUUAUCUUUUGAUGACUUUCUUCUCAUGUUACGAAAAUACAUUUUUCAUGGUUCUUAUAAAUGUUUAUAAGAGCACAAAUUUAAUAUUCUGUUCUCUACUGCCCAACGUCAUUUUUUAAAUCAGGUUUUUGGAAAAAAAUAUUUUUAUUGGCAAAAAAUGAUUUAUUUUAAAGUUUCCGCACCGGGAAGAAUUGUCUUAUCCGGAGAGCAUUCGGUUAUGUAUGGAAAAUGCGUUAUAUUGGCCAGUUUAAAUCGUCGUACCAAGCUCAAAUUCUGCGAAUUGCCUGAUGAGCCAAAAAAUGUGAUUAAGAUAGAAUUUCUUGAUGUCGGUGUGUCGUUGUGCGUAUCUUUAGAAAAAGUUUCCAACUUUUUUUCUAACAACAUCUCUUUCAACUCUGCUUCGGAUCAUAUCCGAUUUUAUAAGCUCGUACAAUCCUUGAUUACUUUGAACGGUAUGUGGGUGACACACGAGCAGAGAUUUAGCUUAGAAAUAUUCUUUUUCUUGCUUCUGUAUAUCGCUCACCACGAGCAACUCGAUAUCAAAUCUUUUUACGUAUACGUGUCCACGGAAUUACCCAUCGGCUCUGGUCUUGGCAGUUCGUCGUCGUUCGCGGUAUGUUUUUCGGCGUGUUUUCUCCAUUGGGCGCGUUUGCAGAAGGGUAUUCGUAAAAAAAGAUUCAACGAGAACGAAUUAUUCACAUUUCGACCUACGCUAAGAUCUGCGAGAAAGUUGUACAAGACCAAAUGUUCGAAAUCGAUGAUGAUGUGUGCGUUUACGGCAAAGUAAUACAAUCUCGAUAUAUCAACCUGGAAGAUAAAUAUCGUACUACGAGAAUCGAUGCGCCAAGAAUGAAUAUUCUUCUAAUCGAUGCAGGAAUUUCUCUGAAUAAGGGCGAACGAGCGAAACAAAUGGCGGAGUUGAAAUAUUUUUAUCCCGACCUCGUCAACCACAGUUUAAAUAGAUAUGACGAAAUAUCAAAAGACAUUUUUACAACACUUAUUAUAAUAAAUAGUGUCCACGGACAGUCCGAUUUUCUUCAAAAAGAAGCAUACAUAGCGUUGCAGCUGUACAUUCAGAUGAAUCAACUUGUGCUAUUUAAAUUAAAUAUGACGCAUCCGAGUUUGGAACUUAUUCGUUCAGUUGCACUACAGCAUGAACUCGCGGGAAAACUUGCAGGUUUUGGAGGCGGAUUUGUAUACAUUCCAUUACCACCGCAUAUUCCAAAAAAACAAAUCACGAAUUUUUCGAAACUUUUAAGACACAGGGUUUUAAUAUCACGAUGACCAGCGUGAAUUGUAAUGGAGUGACAAUUGAUUGAUUAUAUUAAUAUGAUGAUCGAUAAUAUAUAAAUAACUAAAUAGUAACAAAUAACUCAAUGUAAAAAAAUGUGGCAAUCUUAUAUUAACUCUAUUACUGUGGUAUUUUAAAGAAAGAAGCACAAACAGUAUAAUUUUAUAUAUGUAUGUAUAUAUACAUAUUUUGUUACUUAAUAUUCGCGGUUCCUUAUUGACAUUGUAUUAAAUUAUGAGAUCAACAGUGACAAAUUGAAUAGUCUUGUUGUGAAACGUCGAAAAGUAUUAGUUUUUUCGUAUGUCGUCCCAAUCUAUUUCAAAAAUAUAAGUUGAUGAAAAUUUCACAUUAAAAUCAUAAUCUGCCGGUGCAAUUAAUAUACAAAAGACUUUUUUAGAUUUGUAAAUUUAUAGGUAUAUGUAGAAUAUGAAUUAUAUAGUACUAUUUCUGAAUCAAAAAUAAGCUGAACAGUUUCAAGUUUAUAUUUUGUAUAAAAUUGAAAAAAAAAAUUACUAAAAAUUUAUUUAGUCAACCUUAUUCAUUAAGGAUUUUCAUUAGACAUAUGUUCAUAAACUGCGCAUUAAUAGUUUGCGUGAUUAUAUAUUAUCUACCUUAUGGACUUACGUCUGUCUAAAAACAUAAAGCUGGUUAAAUGACUUUUAAUAAUUUUUUUUUCGUCCAGCAUCAAAAAGAAAUAUUUUAGAAUUUUUUAUUUUUGAUUAGGUAAUAACGCUACGUAAUUCGCGGACGUGAAUUAUGAAACAAAUAAAA